rnacentral:rRNA from 1 species
CACGUAGGGGGCAAGCGUUGUCCGGAUUUAUUGGGCGUAAAGAGCUCGUAGGCGGCUCAGUAAGUCGGGUGUGAAACCUCCAGGCUCAACCUGGAGACGCCACCCGAUACUGCUGUGGCUUGAGUCCGGUAGGGGAGCGUGGAAUUCCUGGUGUAGCGGUGAAAUGCGCAGAUAUCAGGAGGAACACCAGCGGCGAAGGCGGCGCUCUGGGCCGGAACUGACGCUGAGGAGCGAAAGCGUGGGUAGCAAACAGG